CGGGGAGGUAGUGACGAAAAAUAACGAUACGGGACUCAUCCGAGGCCCCGUAAUCGGAAUGAGAACACUUUAAAUCCUUUAACAAGGACCAAUUGGAGGGCAAGUCUGGUGCCAGCAGCCGCGGUAAUUCCAGCUCCAAUAGCGUAUAUUAAAGUUGUUGCGGUUAAAAAGCUCGUAGUUGAAUCUGUGUGUCACAGUGUCGGUUCACCGCUCGCGGUGUCUAACUGGCAUUAUGUGGUACGUCCUACCGGUGGGCUUAGCCCCUUGGGGGGCGGUCCAACUAAUCUCCCAUCGCGGUGCUCUUCACUGAGUGUCGAGGUGGGCCGGUACGUUUACUUUGAACAAAUUAGAGUGCUCAAAGCAGGCUACCUUCGCCUGAAUACUGCGUGCAUGGAAUAAUGGAAUAGGACCUCGGUUCUAUUUUGUUGGUUUUCGGAACCCCGAGGUAAUGAUUAAUAGGGACAGAUGGGGGCAUUCGUAUUGCGACGUUAGAGGUGAAAUUCUUGGAUCGUCGCAAGACGGACUAAAGCGAAAGCAUUUGCCAAAAAUGUUUUCAUUAAUCAAGAACGAAAGUUAGAGGUUCGAAGGCGAUCAGAUACCGCCCUAGUUCUAACCAUAAACGAUGCCAGCUAGCGAUCCGCCGAAGUUCCUCCGAUGACUCGGCGGGCAGCUUCCGGGAAACCAAAGCUUUUGGGUUCCGGGGGAAGUAUGGUUGCAAAGCUGAAACUUAAAGGAAUUGACGGAAGGGCACCACCAGGAGUGGAGCCUGCGGCUUAAUUUGACUC
rnacentral:rRNA from 1 species